UCAAUUGGAAUCGUUUCUUCUCCUCACGACCCUCUAUGUCUUUGUUAUCAUCGUUUGGACUUUGGAGGACAUGAAAUAGCGAGAACAAAGAGAAGGGACUGAGCGUAGACCUCUGGCAACCGAUGAUAACAAAGCAAUAAGUUGUUUUCUAAAAGCUUAGCCAAACAUGCCCGAAAUCUCCGAUCAUUGGGAUUUGAACAGUUGCGACGGCGGUGUAUUCUUCAUCAGAAUCGGUAGGGCUGGGGUAAGUUUUCGGGUUCGAUUGUUCUUCUCCGGUAACUAUCAGUUGGUGGUUGUGGGGUUUUUCCGCCGGAGUUCGUUCAUGUUUGCUAUAUAUCUAUUGUUUGUAACGAAGAAUACAGAGAGAGGGGAGCAGGCCAAGGGCCCUCCGGCUGGCAACGGCGAAAUCGAUGACUUCUACGGUACUAAUGUUACGGCUAUCUCCUCUUAAUUUUGUUUAAUUUGAUAUUUCAAUCUUUUAAAUAUGCUGUUAGUUUUGUUUUUUUCACCCGAGUGGUUUUUUUUUAAUUCGACUGGUUAUUUGUUUUCAAUGAAUUACUAAUAAUGAAUGUAUUAGGUCUCCUAUUCAUGCCUACCAUUUGUUUAAUGAAAUUCUUAUGUGAAGAAUAGGUGAUGAUGUAUAAAGUUUGUUGCAGUGGUUGAAGAAUUUUACAAGCAACUUCAUUCUGGCUAGGCUUCUCUGUCCUUAUCAUUGUUUUUUUAAUUAUAACCUUUUUAUUGCAUCUCAAUAAUUUCAUGCUAAAACUGGAAAACGGUCUAGCGAGCUAGGACUUCAGCGACGCUUCAGGGAUGUUUUGGGGAUUCUGUGGUGGAUGAAAUGACGGUGUGCCAACAGGUCCUGGUUGGCGUUGAUGGUUUUGGCGGCGGUGGUGAUUGGUGUCAGUUGAGUUCUGAUCCCAAUCUUGCUGCUAAGAACAAACUUGAUUUGAUGAAAAGCAGUUCGGCUUCGAGAAAAGAGAUUGAUUUGGAAAACAACAUCAAAGCGUAUGCUCAUCCCUCUCAGCAAAUUUUGAAGCUGCAAACAAAAGAUGAUUAGGGAUAGAAUUUCGCAGUGGUUAGUGGGACAACGACGUCCAGAAAAGGUUCCAAUGAAUUAGAUGUGCAAAAUAGCAAGUCGGGUGGGUUGAGGCUUCAGGCAACGGGCUUAGCUAGGAUUGGCUCAAAACGGGUCAAAUUGGGUUGACAUAACUUCUAUAUACAAGUGCUCAUCUGAUUCUCUCCACUCUCUGCUUAAAGUUCAUUCUGUAUUGAAUGCGCAAUUAUAUUGGUGUACCGUACUCAUUGAAUGUAUUGCAUGUGCAACCUGGUACAACAUUCCUUCACUUCACCAUUAGCCAUGUUUGAAGAGUGUCUUUUCCCUCUUGUUGAUGGACUGUUCCAAGCAUACAAUGCUAAUGUUCUAGCCUAUGGCCAGGUAUAGCGGUGCAAACGAGCCGAGCUACUCGCGAGGUACUCGAGCUCGGCUCGAGUCGAGCUUGAACGAGCCUAAAAACAAGCUCGUUUAGUAAACGAGCCCACGAGCCCGAGCCCGAGCUUCGCUUAUCGAGCUCAAGCCGGCUCGCAAGCCGAAUCGAGGUUUCUGUUUAUAUAUUUUUUUAUUGAUAUAUUAAACAUUAAAUAUAUAAUUAUAUAAAAAUAAUUACCAUUUAUAUAAAUAUAAAAAAUAACUAAAUUAUAUUUAUAAUAAUAAUUAUAAUUAAUAUAAAUUAAUUAAUAAAUACUAAACGAGUCGAGCCCGAGUCGAGCUUGAGCUUGAAAUUGCGUGUUCAACAAGAUUGAAUCUUUACAGCAUCAACUAGAGUUCCAAUUGCGUGUCUCUUUCAUUGAGGACGUAUGUGACUUGUUGGAUAACAAAUGGGUAGAAUGGGCAAACAUCAACCGGAAUCGAGUGUAUACUAAACCCAGUUUCCCAGGUGGAAUAUGAAGUUCUAAACUUGCAUGAUCCGGAACAUGCUCAGAUCACUGUUUUCAGGCACUGUGGACUCUCAUUUUUUUGGAAUCCUUGUAAAAACGUUGAGAUCAUGUGUUGUACUUGUUAAAGAUCAUUACCCAACCCGGCUUGGGUGUUUACUUGUUAUAUGGCCCCCUCCUGUUGCCCGAGUCGUAAUUCAAACUCUAUUCCAAGUUAGCAUGUUUGAUUUUG